UCAGCAUGCCCCGAAUUAUCUGGGCUACACGCGGGCUACAAUGGGUGGGACAAUGGGUAUCGACACCGAAAGGUGAAGGCAAGUCUCCUAAACCCAUCCGUAGUUCGGAUUGUGGGCUGCAACUCGCCCACAUGAAGCUGGAAUCUGUAGUAAUCGUGUCUCAAAUGGCACGGUGAAUAUGUCCCUGCUCCUU
rnacentral:rRNA from 1 species